CUUGAAAUGUUUUUGUCAUGUUAGCAAAGCUCAUGCCAUUUAUUUACAAAUUGAGUGCAUAACUGAACGUGGAAUAUAUUUAUGUUUGAAAAUAAGAUAAUCUAAAUUAACAGGAAAAUAAAUAUAAACGAACUGCGUGUGUUCAUAACGAACAAACAAAACUUACAACAGAACUUUUAUCACUAUAUUUGACCAAUGUAAAUAAAACAUGGCACAAGAUAUUUGAGUUCUUUAUCUCGCUUCUAAGCUGAAAACUGACAUUCCAAUUUUGGUUAGGCUUUACAAAUACCUAAUGAAACAUUGUAAACAUUAAAAAUGGAAAAUAACAUUCGCCUUCAUGCCCCUUUAUGCCAAUUAUAAAACCAGUAAUGAAAAUGGAACUGGGAGAUAAGAGCCAGAGAUGGUUAUCGUGCUCCCUUGUUGAGGCAUUGUGGAUCGUGACGACAGGGCGAUACCAGGAAGGAAUUCCCAACACAACUGUACAUCCCGACCUUUGAUAAAGCUCCACGAGUUCCGACCUUUGAUAAAGCUCCACGAGUUCCGAAUCCCAUUACACAGUUCGUUUUAUAUAGGACCAUUGUAACAAAUUGAAGGGAUAAAAACCUGCAACAAAGCCUAGAAGAACGGAGCAGCUACUAGCAGAACCAAGAUAAGACUCGGUGGGUCAGAAUAAAGACGAAUAGUGGGAGUCUGGAAGCAGAGAAGCGUGAUUGAAUAGAGCCACACUGUGAUUAAUAAAAACACUAAGCACGGGCUGAUAAGGAAAGUCAUCAACACUCCGCGAUGUAACCGCUGUUUUAAUGGAGAACGCUAUUUUAUUUGCGGAGUUUUGUCUAAAACAACUUGAACUUUUUUAAGUUUGAAAAAUUGUAUUUUUUGCUUUAGGGAUAAAUAUUUCAGCAAGAAAAUUGAAAUUUGCAGACGAGUGUGAUGCAAUUUAUUUAAGAAACACGAGAAUAUCUAGAGAAUUUUCAGAAAGUAAUUUUUUUAACAUGAUAUCAUGGAAACCAUUCCAAAAAAGCUAGAAGAAGAAAUUAAUGUCGGGUAAAAAAGUGUCAACAAUAUCUGCAGGUUAGAUGAGAUACGGUAGCCAGAUUUCCCAUUGACUAAUUACAUCACAGCCUUCUCGGUGUCGUCGAAUUGACAAGUCAGGGUCUGAAGAUUCUCUGACUAUUAGAUAACAUUCGCUCUUGACUGAACACAGGAAACAAAAGAUGGCGCAGAUGGAGACAAGGGCAAUCAGGAACUAUUUGAGUGUUUAAAAAACUUGUUUAUUUUGGAUAGUGAAAUUCUUUUUAUAGUGUCUAUUCAACUAGGAUUGAAAUAUUUGAAACGCAAUUAUUUCGAUUCCUGGCAUCCCAGUGUUUACCUAUCAAUAAGCACAUUAAGCUAUUCAUGUACAUAACACUAUCCAUGUACAUUAUGCUAUGGUAUAAUAUAAAUUAUCAAUAUCUUUAAAACAAUGUAUG